AGUUAAUCAUUCUAAAAUAUAUCUUUGAAAUAAAAAAAAAAGAUAUUAUGAAUUUAAAGAUAGAUGUAGUUUCUGAGAAAAAGGAAAUUUUCAGGGUUUUUAUUACUUCAAUACGUAUAUAUUGAAAAAAAUUAAAGAUAAACAGACUUAGCACAAUUUUUUGAGUCAGCAAUUGGGAUUUCUAACCCUUCAAGAUCACCUGAAUUUCCCACUGUUUUAAUGGGACUCCUAUUGUUAGUCUUUAGAUUUUCAAGCAGGAAAUAUUAAGUCAUCUUUUCUAUUCAUAUAAGGGAUUCAAAAGUACAAAGUAAGGUAUGAUGUACUCCUUAUUUAAAGUUCAAUCAGUAAUAUGUGAUCCACAAAGUUACCAAUCUAAUCAUUUCAAAUGUUUUGAAAAAAUAUAUUUAACUGAUUUUUUUCCGUAAAAAGUAAGCCAUUUAUAAUGAAUGAGUGAUGUAAGAUAAGUCAUCAAACAAACAAAACUUUUACCAUUAAAAAAAUAUAACCAACUUAAAAACACUCUAAAAAAUAAAUGUUCAUAAAAAAUUUGAUAAUAAUAAAAAAUAAAAUUAUUAUUCCCCUAAAAAGUAAAUAUGUCUGUUUUGCAAAUGUUAAUCAAAACCCACAUGGAAGAGCAAACUCAAAAGAUCCUUGAAGUCAAACUUGUUGCAAAAUAUGUACUAGAGACAAAAACAUAAAAAAAAAUAUAUUGGGCAGAUCUUUAGUGUAGUAUAAAGUUUAGGUACAUUCAGAACAAAUAUAUCAAUUAAUAAAGGUUCCCUUAAUAUUACUCGUUUUACUUUUAUUUUUAUAAAUUCUAUAUUAAUUCUAUAAAGUAUUGCUAGUGAUUUUGACCAUCUUACCUAUAUGAAUUUUGAACCCAAAUUAUAACUAUAAGGCAUUCAAUCAAAAUCAUCUUUUUGAAAAUACUGUUACAAACAGCAUUCUUCAAAGAAAUAUGAGACAAAACAAAAGUUAGUGUGGAUUCAGUAUAAUUCAUUGGAUACCAGUUUUCAUGUGUUUCUUUGGUACAGAUGAACCACAGAUUCAAAUGUUCAACAAAUUUUAAAUUUUCCAUAGUGUUUGUAUACAGAGAUUGACAAAACCACGAAAUCAAAUAUCCAUGAAAAUGGAAGUUUUCCUCAAUCCACGAAAAUUGAUACCCCCGAAAAUAAAUGAAUUCACAGAAGAUCUCUCUGCAGUAUAAACACUAACACAUCAACACAAACUUCAUAUUCUAAUGCAUUUUUCAGAUGAAAAACUGUCCCCCUUCAGAUAGGAGACAUAUCAGAAUAUAGGAUGUAAAUGAAUGAAAAAGAGAUAAGAGAGACAAGUGCAAACUCAGGCAUAAAACCAAAGAAUGACAAAAUCAGAUGGUGCAAACUCAGGCAUAAAACCAAAGAAUGACAAAAUCAGACGGUGCAAACUCAGGCAUAAAACCAAAGAAUGACAAAAUCAGAUGAUACAAACUCAGGCAUAGAACCAAAGAAUGACAAAAUCAGAUGGUGCAAACUCAGGCAUAGAACCAAAGAAUGACAAAAUCAGACGGUGCAAACUCAGGCAUAAAACCAAAGAAUGACAAAAUCAGACGGUGCAAACUCAGGCAUAAAACCAAAGAAUGACAAAAUCAGACAAGUGAAACUCAGGCAUAAAACCAAAGAAUGACAAAAUCAGAUGGUGCAAACUCAGGCAUAAAACCAAAGAAUGACAAAAUCAGAUGAUACAAACUCAGGCAUAGAACCAAAGAAUGACAAAAUCAGAGGAUACAAACUCAGGCAUAGAACCAAAGAAUGACAAAAUCAGAUGAUACAAACUCAGGCAUAA
rnacentral:lncRNA from 1 species